UUUUGUUCAGUAUUUAAUCGGUCGUUGUAGUGUUAACUUUUCCCAUUGAGGAAAGAAUUACUGCCUAUCUUUUUCAUAAAUUGCUUUAUAAAUUCAAAAUAUAAUAAAUUUAUAUGAAUUUAAAUAUAACUAAAUUAUCGGCAUUAAUGCUAUUUUCAAUAUAGAUGUUCUUUUUUUUGUAUCAGAAAUUCAUUUUCUCCCCCAAAAUCACAUUACAUACAACUGAUAUUAAAAAGGUUCUUAAUUUAAGUCGAUCAUAUGCCUCGUUCCCGCCAUCUCCUCGCGGCCUUUUUUUCAUUACAAACUACUCCACUCUUAAUAUAAGUAUCAAAAUUACUUCAGCCGACCUUGAAAUGUUCUAUGAAUUCAAUAAACAUUAAGUAUAUUUCCUUCUCUAGGAACGACCUAGACACAAACCUACACACAUUGAGUUCAAGAGAAAUAUUUCUCUUAAGCGCGUUGUCUAUUGAGCUACUUCGUACCAAAUAUAUAUUUAUUUUUAAUUUCCCGACUGACAUCCUAUUUUUUUUUUCAGAAAUUUCAUUAACAUUAAAGAUAACAUGGUCCUUUUGAUUUACCAUAAUAAAGGGUCUUUCUUAAUAAAUUAUUUAGUAAAAUUGUUUGUUUUUUUUUCUUUUUAUUAGCUAUUUUUUAAAGGUCAAGCCUUUUUUGGCUCCUUUUUCUUAGAAUGUCUAUUUAUUUCUACGAAGUCCUUUAUUAUAGGAGAAAUAUAAAAUAUUUUUUUAAAAGAACUUCAUGAAUUUAAAAAAAAAAAAAAAUCACCAUGCUAAUUAUCCAAAAAUUCUGACUUACAUACUUUCCCGACUCUAUUAUUCACCGUCCCUGCGUAUAUAAUAAUAAUAGUUCAAAUCAAUCUUUUACAUACUUUUGAUGGCUGUGAAACAUAUUCAUACUUAUGCGCAUACAAAUAUGAAUGAAGAUCAAAGUUCCUAUAAUGAAUUAAUUACAAAUAUCACAAAUGUUCAUUCUUUUUCUAUCUCUAUUAAUCAAGCUUCAUAGAUAUAUAAGAAUAUCAUCAUCAAGCUUCUUUUUUUAAAUAUUUGAAAUACACCUACAUAGAUCUGUUGAUUCAUCAAAUUUCUAAUUAGGGUGUCAGAGUGUAUUUCGCUAUACAGUGCAUUGUUUUGUACAUAUACCUAAUAUGAGGACCAGGGAAUAUGUGUGAUGCUAAGAUAGCUCAUCAAUCUUCCAUCAUCACUCAUAUUCAGUCCAUACUUCAUAUUAACUUCUGUGAUAGUUUUUCAUACAUAUUUACAUAAUAUACUAUAUGUGAGGUAAAGUGUUUUCACUGAUUGAUAGCAUAAUAAUAAUAUAUCGAAAGCAACGACAUUUAGGAGGCAUACAAACACAUAGUAUUAAACAAAAUUUCCAAUACACAAUUCAAUGACCAGUUAAAACCAUUAUUGUAUACGUAGAAGACAAUUUCUUUAAACAAAAUUUGAAACGAUGACCAUGUGAUUAAUUUUUUACAAAUUUAGUACUUUUUUCUCCGUUAGCGGACCUGAUAGCUGUAUGAAUAACAGGUAUUACUAACCUCUUUUUUUAUAAAUAAAUCACGUGAUAUCUUUGUUUAUAUGAAAUAAAUAUCUAUGUGUAUGCUUCCAACAAAAUGGCCGCCGACUAAUUCCAACGUGAAAAGGCUUUACCUACAACAACGUCCUUUAUUUAUAGAUAAAUAAUUAUUAAUUAUAUAGUUUGAUCUUACUUACAAACAAUCAGCCUCAAUAGCCAUCCAUUUCUACCAAUCUUUUUGAAGGGAAGAAGGGAGUCCAUGAUGGAUGAAUUCCUGAUGUUGUUUCUACCCAGCAUAUACCUUAGUUGUGUCUUAUUCCUUGUUGGGGGAAGAAUCCGUGUUUGAUUAGAUUCUUUAAUCAUAAUAUAAUAUUAAUUAUUAUAAUUUUAUGUUCUUUGUUCAUCUUUUGUUUUUCUUAUUCAUUAAUUAUUAUUAUGUUUUUUUAUUUCAUUUUUAUUUUGAAGCAAAAAAAGGUUAAUUUGUUCUUCAUCAUUAAUAUUUUUGUGCAAUGUCGUUUGUCAUCGUUUACAUUCCUGUAUAUAUAUAUAUAUAUAUAUACUUAUACAUAUUGGUGUGGGGUUUUGCUUUGAAAAUUAUUGACCGCUCUGAGACUAAUUUGGCCAUACGUUAGUGAUAUUAUACAUCCCGGGAUUCAUUAAAAUGCUUCAUAUUCCAUUAAAAUCCACAUUUUAGCCACAAUGAUUUUUACUAUCAGAUUAGAUAGUAAUUCCUGAUUUAUGUUUAUAAUCCUUCCUGAUGAUUUAUUGAUCAAUUUUUAAUUGUUUUUUCCUUUUUUUUUUUUUUUUUUACUCUUCUUUUUUAAAUGUGAGGACUCAACCCUAAUACCAGUGGCGUCCACAGAUGGUGGGUUGAAGGGGCUGUAGCCCUUCCAAAAUUAAGGAAGUUUUGCUUUUUACUGGAAAAUUGAAUAUUUGAAUUUUAAUUUAAUUGUUCAAUGAAAAAAAAAUAUAUAUUUGAAAUUUUUAUUUAUAAAAUUUAAUUUUUCAAAUUUUUUUUACAAAUAAUUUUAAUUUUUGGAUUUUUUUUCAAAAAAUUUCCAAAAAACCAAGCCUUUCUUCCCAAAAAACAAACAGCAAUAUUAAAAACGAAUGUUUACUAAUUUUAUUUCCAAAAUUGCAGAAAGUAAAUAAUAAUUCAGAAUUUUUUUUUAUCAACAAUAGAGAUUUGAUGUUUUUACAAUAAGUAUAACAAAUUAUACAUCUAGUUAAAAAAUAAUAAUACGAAAUUUAAAUUAAAUAAUUAUUUUACUUUUAUAACUGUUUUCAUGUUAU
rnacentral:lncRNA from 1 species